rnacentral:rRNA from 1 species
GGACUACCGGGGUAUCUAAUCCUGUUCGCUCCCCACGCUUUCGUGACUCAGCGUCAGUUUCAGUCCAGUAAGCCGCCUUCGCCACUGGUGUUCUUCCAUAUAUCUACGCAUUUCACCGCUACACAUGGAAUUCCGCUUACCUCUCCUGUACUCUAGUCCUCCAGUUUCUUAUGCACGACCAUGGUUGAGCCAUGGCUUUUCACAUAUGACUUAAAGAACCGCCUACUCACCCUUUACACCCAGUAAUUCCGGAUAACGCUUGCCCCCUACGUAUUACCGCGGCGGCUGGCAC